UACGAAGGGGGCUAGCGUUGCUCGGAAUCACUGGGCGUAAAGGGUGCGUAGGCGGGUCUUUAAGUCAGGGGUGAAAUCCUGGAGCUCAACUCCAGAACUGCCUUUGAUACUGAAGAUCUUGAGUCCGGGAGAGGUGAGUGGAACUGCGAGUGUAGAGGUGAAAUUCGUAGAUAUUCGCAAGAACACCAGUGGCGAAGGCGGCUCACUGGCCCGGUACUGACGCUGAGGCACGAAAGCUAGGGUAGCGAACGGG
rnacentral:rRNA from 1 species